rnacentral:rRNA from 1 species
UACGUAGGGUGCGAGCGUUAAUCGGAAUUACUGGGCGUAAAGCGUGCGCAGGCGGUUCGUUGUGUCGGCGGUGAAAGCCCCGGGCUCAACCUGGGAAUGGCCGUUGAAACUGGCGAACUGGAGUGUGGCAGAGGGGGGUGGAAUUCCGCGUGUAGCAGUGAAAUGCGUAGAGAUGCGGAGGAACACCGAUGGCGAAGGCGGUUCUCUGGGCAUUACCUGACGCUGAGGAGCGAAAGUGUGGGGAGCGAACAGG